GACGGAGGGUGCUAGCGUUGUUCGGAAUUACUGGGCGUAAAGGGCGCGUAGGCGGCCUUCUCAGUCGGGUGUGAAAGCCCGGGGCUCAACCCCGGAACGGCACCCGAGACGGGUUGGCUGGAGACCGGGAGAGGAGGGUGGAAUAGCCAGUGUAGAGGUGAAAUUCGUAGAUAUUGGCUAGAACACCGGUGGCGAAAGCGGCUCUCUGGCCCGGUUCUGACGCUGAGGCGCGAAAGCGUGGGGAGCAAACAGG
rnacentral:rRNA from 1 species